GGUGGGCGGCCAGUGCGUACAGUGCCUCGACUCCGGUAACCAGACCGCUGCCGACUCCACCAAGGCAGCCAGGUAGCGCUCGAAGCCGGUGCCAGACAACAAAGCCCUUGCUGUGGCCAACUGGAGCGCGCAGUGGCUCGUGGUCGGCGCAUCUACCUGAGCUAAACGCCAUGUUGCUUUUUCUCCUGGUAGUUUCCAGCAUGAUCUUUGGAGCAUGGCUGUUCAUCGCAGUUCCGCGGUGGCUACUUCACCUCGUGGGAUUCGGACCGACGGGAGUGAAGCCACGUAGUCUGGCAGCCUCGUGGCAGUCCUUCCUGCGCGGCCGCGUCAAGAAACACGGCUGCUUCUCUACACUGCAACAGUGGGGAAUGAUUGGCCUACCUAUCUGGUCGAAGAUAUUCCUUGGUUACCUUGGAGCCCUAUGGGGCAUACAUUUGUUAGUGUAGGACUGGGGCAUGCUCCUUCCAAAUCACCCAGGCAUAGACCGCGGUCGUGGAAAAAUGGUAAAUGUCGCAGCAGUGAAUGGUCUAGGGAGAGCGAAG